rnacentral:rRNA from 1 species
UGGCGAACGGGUGAGUAACACGUGGGCAACCUGCCCUCAGCUUUGGGAUAACUCCCGGAAACGGGUGCUAAUACCGAAUAUUGACAUUGUCUCGCAUGGGGUGGUGUUGAAAGUUUUUCGGCUGGGGAUGGGCCCGCAGCCUAUCAGCUUGUUGGUGGGGUGAUGGCCUACCAAGGCGACGACGGGUAGCCGGCCUGAGAGGGCGACCGGCCACACUGGAACUGAGACACGGUCCAG